rnacentral:rRNA from 1 species
UACGUAGGGUGCGAGCGUUGUCCGGAAUUACUGGGCGUAAAGAGCUCGUAGGUGGUUUGUCGCGUUGUUCGUGAAAACUCACAACUCAAUUGUGGGCGUGCGGGCGAUACGGGCAGACUGGAGUACUGCAGGGGAGACUGGAAUUCCUGGUGUAGCGGUGGAAUGCGCAGAUAUCCGGAGGAACACCGGUGGCGAAGGCGGGUCUCUGGGCAGUAACUGACGCUGAGGAGCGAAAGCGUGGGGAGCGAACAGG